AGGUCCAAUCCUGGAUGACUGGUGGAGUGUGAGUCCUGGAUGAUGGACGCUACGUAACUGGAACUCUGAGGUCCGC
ensembl:snoRNA